rnacentral:rRNA from 1 species
GGCGCACGGGUGAGUAACACGUAUCCAACCUGCCCUUUACUCGGGGAUAGCCUUUCGAAAGAAAGAUUAAUACCCGAUGGCAUAAUGAUUCCGCAUGGUUUCAUUAUUAAAGGAUUCCGGUAAAGGAUGGGGAUGCGUUCCAUUAGGUUGUUGGUGGGGUAACGGCCCACCAAGCCUUCGAUGGAUAGGGGUUCUGAGAGGAAGGUCCCCCACAUUGGAACUGAGACACGGUCCAAACUCCUACGGGAGGCAGCAGUGAGGAAUAUUGGUCAAUGGGCGCUAGCCUGAACCAGCCAAGUAGCGUGAAGGAUGAAGGCUCUACGGGUCGUAAACUUCUUUUAUAUAAGAAUAAAGUGCAGUAUGUAUACUGUUUUGUAUGUAUUAUAUGAAUAAGGAUCGGCUAACUCCGUGCCAGCAGCCGCGGUAAUACGGAGGAUCCGAGCGUUAUCCGGAUUUAUUGGGUUUAAAGGGAGCGUAGGUGGACUGGUAAGUCAGUUGUGAAAGUUUGCGGCUCAACCGUAAAAUUGCAGUUGAUACUGUCAGUCUUGAGUACAGUAGAGGUGGGCGGAAUUCGUGGUGUAGCGGUGAAAUGCUUAGAUAUCACGAAGAACUCCGAUUGCGAAGGCAGCUCACUGGACUGCAACUGACACUGAUGCUCGAAAGUGUGGGUAUCAAACAGGAUUAGAUACCCUGGUAGUCCACACAGUAAACGAUGAAUACUCGCUGUUUGCGAUAUACAGUAAGCGGCCCAGCGAAAGCAUUA